UCUCUGGAGCAGUUAUGUUUCUCUAGGUACACACUCUCUACAAACUGGACUUUAUGUGACCUUUUGCAUAAAUAGCAGUGAUAUUACAUCUGGGUGUGAUGUGCCUAUCUAUAAUCCCAGCACUUGAGAGUGUGAGGCAGGAGGAUGGCUGUGAGUUCAAAGACACUGUGGGCUACAGACUGAGUCCUUGGUGAGCCAGGACUGUAGAGUGAGACCCCCUUCCAAGAAACCACAACAGAGGACCAUAAGAGAUUGCUCAGUGGUAGAUUCACCAUUAUCUCAGAAUCAAAAUCUGGAACCUUCGUGAUCUGGCUGAAGUCAGGAAGUUUCAGGCAAGGAAAUCAAGGAAGAUCUUCGGGCUUUAAACCACGGUCGAAGCUGAUAUCUAACCUGCAAUCACUGAAAAGUAGACAAUACAAUCCACCCUCUUCAGCAGGAAGCAGUUACACCCUUCUAAGCCCCAUGACCCUUCUGUCAUUCUUGCCGCUGACCUGGAAGGUGAGAAAGCUUUGACUUCUGUAGAGACAUCAUAAUGUUUUGUCUAUUUUUGGUUUACUUCAUAAGCUCUAUAUACAAAAAAGCUAAUUGGUCUAGCAAUGACUCACGGUGCCCAAAUUAGGCAAAAAGUUGUAAUAAAGAUAUUUUCUCUUAGAAAUUGGUCAUUGAAGGAGGGGUAUGUACAACUUUAAUUUGAUUUAAUUUAAUCAAAACGAACAUACAUUGCAGGUGUAAAAUGUCAAAGUGCUGAGCUAGCUAAGUAAAACUGGGUUUCCAUGUUGUCAGCUCUUUUGCUCUAGACAUUGUGUGGUCA
rnacentral:lncRNA from 1 species